CCUACGGGAGGCAGCAGUGAGGAAUAUUGGUCAAUGGGCGAGAGCCUGAACCAGCCAAGUCGCGUGCGGGAGUACUGCCCUAUGGGUUGUAAACCUCUUUUGUCGGGGGGCAAAAGUCGGACGUGUCCGGCUGUGAGAGUACCCGAAGAAAAAGCAUCGGCUAACUCCGUGCCAGCAGCCGCGGUAAUACGGGGGGUGCGAGCGUUAUCCGGAUUUUUUGGGUUUAAAGGGUGCGCAGGCGGAUUUUUAAGUCAGCGGUAAAAGCGUGGGGUUCAACCCCGUCCAGCCGCUGAAACUGUGGAUCUAGAGAGUGCGAGAGGUAUGCGGAAUGUGUGGUGUAGCGGUGAAAUGCAUAGAUAUCACGCAGAACCCCGAUUGCGAAGGCAGCAUACCGGUGCACAACUGACGCUCAGGCACGAAAGCGUGGGUAUCGAACAGGAUUAGAUACCCGGGUAGUC
rnacentral:rRNA from 1 species